GAUUAUUCUAGCAAAAUUGCGCAUAUGAAAUACGGCAAAAUAGAUACCAAAACCUUGAACUGUUCAAUGGGUUAGGGGCCCAUUUAAAACCCUGACCCAACCCUUUUAUAAACGGGUUUUAUCCAUCCAAUAUUUAAAUGGGGCGGGCUUUUAAAGGGUUAUUACAUAAUAGGCUUUUAAAGGGUUGAGUCUAAGUUAAAAAGGGCUGAAAUUGGAUAACUCUUAUGAGGCGUUUUUUAUCCUAAUUUUUCUGUUUCUAAAACUUCCUAACAUCAAAUUAUAAUACCUUGAAAAAAAAAUUCCCAAUUUCCCCCAAAUUACGAACCCUAACAAAUUCCCAAUUUCCCCCAAAAAUAAAAAAAUUAAACGUUUUCUCUCUCUUCUUAUUCACCAGCAAAAAAUUUAUGUAUGAACCCUAAAUAUUUUUUCCUACUCGAAUUCUUCGCUCUGAUUCUCACAAAUUGCUACUCUAAUUAUUCUCUCCAAAUAGACGUUCAGAUUUCACACAUUGUUGCUCCAAAUUAUUGCUCGAAGUCGGUCAAAUCGCUAGUCGUUCAGUUUUUUUUAACUAUAGAAAGUGAAGCAACUACAACAUCAAUGCCGGUAGAUGAUGAGCUUGAUGAAUCUAAUGCCGCCCAUAAGCGUAAAAGGAGUAGAAAAUCUAAAGUUUGGCAAGAAAUGACGGAAGGAAAGAAUGCAAAAGGUGAGUGAAUUGCUUUUUGUAAGCAUUGUAAAGUGGAGUUUAUUGCCCACAAAAAUAGUGGCACAUCUCAUUUAAUACGUCAUUUGCUUGAAAUGUGUAAAAAAACAAACUAAUGGACUUCCACUUGGGGAGGCGGUUGAUGAUGAGGAAGAAUUUGUUUUUGAUAUGAGUGAAUUAAGAAAGGAGAUUUUAUUGUAUGUUGUUGAAGGUUCUCAUUCUUUUUCGACCGUGGAAGAAAAAGGUUUUAGGCGGAUGAUGUUAAAGUCUAAUCCUAAAUUUAAACCAUUUAGUCGAACAACUUUACUAGAGACUUUUUUUCUUUGUAUGCCUCUUAUAGAGAGAAAUUAAAAAAAAAAUUGAGGAGUGCACCCGGACGAAUAUGUUUGACAACUAAUAAUUGGAAAUCAUCAUACACUUGGCAACGUUACAUUUGCAUAACCGCCCAUUUUAUUCAUUAUGAUUGGAAACUUCAUAAAAGGAUCAUUAAGUUCACAUCAUUGUCACCCCCUUUUGAUGGACAAAGCAUCUCUGAAGAGAUUUUUAUGUUUCUUAACCAAUGACAUUUAGAUGACAAAGUUCUUAGCUUAACAAUUGACAAUGCAAGUUACAAUGAUGUGAUGGUUAAGCACAUGAAAAAUCGUCUUAGAUCAAGGGGAAUGUUGGUUAGUGGUGGUUGUUUUUUUUCAUAUUUAGAUGUUGUGCUCAUAUCAUUGAUCUUAUUGUCCAAUCCGGUCUAUCUUGUAUUGAGAACAUAUUAGAUAGGAUUAGAAACUUGGUAAAAUUUGUUAUAAGAUCAUCUUCUAGAAGCAAGGAUUUUUAUGAUACCGCUCAAAAGCAUUUUCAUUUAGAGGCUAAGAAGAAACUUCGUAUGGACAUGCAAGUUUGUAGGAACUCUACAUAUAUGAUGCUUGAUAAUGUGCUUUACUAUAAAGAUGUGUUUAUUCAUUUGGGGUCAUUACAUGCAUCUUUCAAGAGUAAUGUGCUUUUGGAGGAUGAAUGGGAUAAAUUGAGUGUUGUUCACAAGUUUUUGAAACUCUUUUAUGAUGUUACAUAUAUGUUCUCGGCCAAUAAGUCUCCAACUUCUAACAUAUAUUUUAAGGGAGCAUGUAUGGUGCAUCGUCGUUUACUUGAAACAUCUAAAGAUCCACAUGAAUUUUUAGCUCAAAUGGUGUUACCUAUGUUGGAAAAAUUUGACAAAUAUUGGUCCGAGUAUACAUAUAUCUAGCUUGUGCGGCAAUCCUUGACCCAAAGUUUAAGUUAAAGUUUGUGGAGUAUUGUUUUGACAAGAUUUAUGGUUCGGAUGAGGCUAUAUAUAAAGUUGAAAAAGUGUUGAACACUUUAAGAUCUUUGUAUAAUGAGUAUUUCAACUUCCCCAAUUGUUGCUCCCUCUACUACAAGUAGUAGGAUUGAAGAUGAAGACUUCUUUGAUGAUUAUCAAAGCUAUAGUUCAAGAAUUACAAGGACUCAAACAAAAAAGUCCCAACUUGAGUCAUAUUUGGAGGAAUCGGAGCUUGAUUUGAACAUGGAGCUAGAUAUUCUAGAGUAUUGGCAACAAAAUGUAGUGAGAUUUCCGGAGCUUGCAAUAUUGGCACGAGAUCUUCUAACGAUUCCGGUUAGUAUGGUGGCUCCCGAGUCGGCUUUUAGUGUAGGGGGGAAAACUAUCUCCUAAUCGUAGCACAUUGAAACCCUAAACGAUUCAAGCCCUAGUUUGUGUUCAAGAUUGGCGCCGUGAUGAAUAUAACAUCCCUUCAAAUUUGGAUCGGGUGAUUCUAGCUCGGAUGAUGAUGAGGCCGUUGAUGAUGGAGAUGAUGACGAUGAGGUUGAUGAUAGUUUCCUAUACUAGGUAAUUGUUUUGAUUUUUCUACUCUUAUUGUUAUAAUCUUGCUUUUUUUCUUGGUAUAAAUGCCGAAGAGAAGUAUUUUUUGCUGGGAUUCAGCUAGAGAUUUGUAUUGAGUAUUACAUGUCUGAUGAAAUGCUUGAGUAAUACACUUGAAUUUUUACUA